GAGGAUGACCAGCCACACUGGGACUGAGACACGGCCCAGACUCCUACGGGAGGCAGCAGUGGGGAAUAUUGGACAAUGGGGGGAACCCUGAUCCAGCAAUGCCGCGUGUGUGAAGAAGGCCUGAGGGUUGUAAAGCACUUUUAGUAGGGAGGAGGGUUGAUAGGUUAAGAGCUAAUUGACUGGACGUUACCUACAGAAACAGCACCGGCUAACUCCGUGCCAGCAGCCGCGGUAAUACGGAGGGUGCGAGCGUUAAUCGGAAUUACUGGGCGUAAAGGGUGCGUAGGUGGUUAUAUAAGUUAUCUGUGAAAUCCCCGGGCUCAACCUGGGCAGGUCAGAUGAGACUGUAUGACUCGAGUAUAGGAGAGGGUAGUGGAAUUUCCGGUGUAGCGGUGAAAUGCGUAGAGAUCGGAAGGAACACCAGUGGCGAAGGCGGCUACCUGGCCUGAUACUGACACUGAGGCACGAAAGCGUGGGGAGCAAACA
rnacentral:rRNA from 1 species